rnacentral:rRNA from 1 species
UACGUAGGGUGCAAGCGUUGUCCGGAAUUAUUGGGCGUAAAGGGCUCGUAGGCGGUCCAUCGCGUCGGGAGUGAAAAGCUGGGGCUUAACCCCAGUCCUGCUUCCGAUACGGGUGGACUAGAGGUAGGUAGGGGAGAACGGAAUUCCUGGUGUAGCGGUGAAAUGCGCAGAUAUCAGGAGGAACACCAACGGCGAAGGCAGCACUCUGGGCCGGUACUGACGCUGAGGAGCGAAAGCGUGGGGAGCGAACAGG